GAACGAACGCUGGCGGCAGGCUUAACACAUGCAAGUCGAACGAUAUAGUGGCAGACGGGUGAGUAACGCGUGGAAACGUGCCUUUCACUACGGAAUAGCUUUUGGAAACGAAAGGUAAUACCGUAUACGCCCUCCGGGGGAAAGAUUUAUCGGUGAAAGAUCGGUCCGCGUUAGAUUAGCUAGUUGGUGAGGUAACGGCUCACCAAGGCUACGAUCUAUAGCUGGUCUGAGAGGAUGAUCAGCCACACUGGGACUGAGACACGGCCCAGACUCCUACGGGAGGCAGCAGUGGGGAAUAUUGCACAAUGGGCGCAAGCCUGAUGCAGCCAUGCCGCGUGAAUGAUGAAGGCCUUAGGGUUGUAAAAUUCUUUCGCCAAGGAUGAUAAUGACAGUACUUGGUAAAGAAGCCCCGGCUAACUUCGUGCCAGCAGCCGCGGUAAUACGAAGGGGGCUAGCGUUGUUCGGAAUUACUGGGCGUAAAGCGCACGUAGGCGGACUUUUAAGUCAGAUGUGAAAUCCCGAGGCUCAACCUCGGAACUGCAUUUGAAACUGGGAGUCUAGAGAUCAGGAGAGGUUAGCGGAAUACCGAGUGUAGAGGUGAAAUUCGUAGAUUAUUCGGUGGAACACCAGUGGCGAAGGCGGCUAACUGGACUGAUACUGACGCUGAGGUGCGAAAGUGUGGGGAGCAAACAGGAUUAGAUACCCUGGUAGUCCACACCGUAAACGAUGAGUGCUAGUUGUCUGCAGGCAUGCCUGUAGGUGACGCAGCUAACGCAUUAAGCACUCCGCCUGGGGAGUACGGCCGCAAGGUUAAAACUCAAAGAAAUUGACGGGGGCCCGCACAAGCGGUGGAGCAUGUGGUUUAAUUCGAAGCAACGCGCAGAACCUUACCUACGCUUGACAUGCCCGGACGAUUUCCAGAGAUGGAUCUCUCCCUUCGGGGCCGGUGCACAGGUGCUGCAUGGCUGUCGUCAGCUCGUGUCGUGAGAUGUUGGGUUAAGUCCCGCAACGAGCGCAACCCUCAUCCUUAGUUGCCAUCACGUUUGGGUGGGCACUCUAGGGAAACUGCCGGUGCUAAGCCGGAGGAAGGCGGGGAUGACGUCAAGUCCUCAUGGCCCUUACGCGUAGGGCUACACACGUGCUACAAUGGCAGUGACAAUGGGAUAAUCCCCAAAAGCUGUCUCAGUUCGGAUUGUCGGCUGCAACUCGCCGGCAUGAAGUUGGAAUCGCUAGUAAUCGUGGAUCAGCAUGCCACGGUGAAUACGUUCCCGGGCCUUGUACACACCGCCCGUCACACCAUGGGAGUUGGAUCUACCCGAAGAUUGUGAGCUAACUUCGGAGGCAGCAAGCCACGGUAGGUUCAGCGACUGGGGU
rnacentral:rRNA from 1 species